AGUGAACGCUGGCGGUAGGCCUAACACAUGCAAGUCGAACGAACGCACAGUAAGCGCUUGCUCUUACGGUUGGCGGCGGACGGGGGGGUAAGAAUUAAAUAGCCUACCUAUUUUACUGGGGGAACAUCGGGGGACAAGUACUAAUACCACAUAAUAUAUUGAACGGCAUAAAUCAGUGGUUCUAGGCACUUUUGCUGUCACAUAUAGCUGUAUCCGUGUCGGAUUAUCUAGUUGGUAAGGUAACGGCACACCAAGGCGACGAUGCGUAGCUGAUCUGAGAGGGUGAUCAGCCACACUGGAACUGAGACACGGUCCAGACUCCUACGGGAGGCAGCAGUGGGGAAUAUUGGGCAAUGGGCGAAAGCCUGAUCGAGCCAUGCCGCGUGAGUGAUGAAGGCCUUCGGGUUGUAAAACCCUGUUAUUAGGAAAGAAAAGCAGCAUGAGAAUACCCCGCUGUUCUGACGGUACCCAAAGAGUAAGCAACGGCUAACUUCGUG
rnacentral:rRNA from 1 species